rnacentral:rRNA from 1 species
GACGAACGCUGGCGGCGUGCUUAACACAUGCAAGUCGAACGGAAAGGCCCUGCUUUUGUGGGGUGCUCGAGUGGCGCACGGGUGAGUAACACGUGAGUAACCUGCCCUUGACUUUGGGAUAACUUCAGGAGACUGGGGCUAAUACCGGAUAGGAGCUCCUGCUGCAUGGUGGGGGUUGGAAAGUUUCGGCGGUUGGGGAUGGACUCGCGGCUUAUCAGCUUGUUGGUGGGGUAGUGGCUUACCAAGGCUUUGACGGGUGGCCGGCCUGAGAGGGUGGCCGGCCACAUUAGGACUGAGAUACGGACCAGAGUCCUACGGGAGGCAGCAGUGGGGAAUAUUGCACAAUGGGCGGGAGCCUGAUGCAGCAACGCCGCGUGCGGGAUGACGGCCUUCGGGUUGUAAACCGCUUUCGCCUGUGACGAAGCGUGAGUGACGGUAAUGGGUAAAGAAGCACCGGCUAACUACGUG